rnacentral:rRNA from 1 species
CAAUAGCGUAUAUUAAAGUUGUUGCAGUUAAAAAGCUCGUAGUUGGAUUUCUGGUUGAAGCGACCGGUCGGGCGUUGAUUCGUCUGCACUGGAGUCGGUUUUGGCCAUCCUCUAGGAAAGUGCGUCUGGUAUUAAGUUAUCGGGCGUAUGAUCCUGGUCUUUUACUGUGAAAAAAUUAGAGUGUUUAAAGCAGGCCUUCGCCUUGAAUACAUUAGCAUGGAAUAAUAAGAUAGGACUUUGAUCUAUUUUGUUGGUUUGCAGACCGAAGUAAUGAUUAAUAGGGAUAGUUGGGGGUAUUUAUAUUCCGAUGUCAGAGGUGAAAUUCUUAGAUUUUCGGAAGAUAAACUUAUGCGAAAGCAUUUACCAAGGAUGUUUUCAUUAA